AGAUGCUGCAGUUAGCUGGGGGUCCACUCUACACCCUGGUUGCCUCAGUUUUUCCUGUACUUGGAGGUAUCAGCAGUGAAUGCUAUGAAACAGCAAAGAUGGCAGCCUGCCCCUUCCCCUGGAAGCUCCAUCCCAGGGCGGUACUGUCCUGUUGCCAGCAUGAGCACACAGCAGAGAUGGCUGGAGGCCCCGGUUGGGAGGUCCCUCCCAGUGAAGAGGAAUGGAUUGGGGCCCCACUUAAAGAAGCAACCUGGCCACGUUCAGGCAAUGCCGCUGUAGUGUUCUGGGAAGACCCUUCCUUGUUUGAACCAUAUGGAUUCUCCGAAGCCCAUAGACUGAAAUGGCUGAGUCAACCA
rnacentral:lncRNA from 1 species